AACAGGAUUAGAUACCCUGGUAGUCCACGCCGUAAACGAUGUCGACUUGGAGGUUGUGCCCUUGAGGCGUGGCUUCCGGAGCUAACGCGUUAAGUCGACCGCCUGGGGAGUACGGCCGCAAGGUUAAAACUCAAAUGAAUUGACGGGGGCCCGCACAAGCGGUGGAGCAUGUGGUUUAAUUCGAUGCAACGCGAAGAACCUUACCUGGUCUUGACAUCCACGGAAGUUCUCAGAGAUGAGAAUGUGCCUUCGGGAACCGUGAGACAGGUGCUGCAUGGCUGUCGUCAGCUCGUGUUGUGAAAUGUUGGGUUAAGUCCCGCAACGAGCGCAACCCUUAUCCUUUGUUGCCAGCGGUCCGGCCGGGAACUCAAAGGAGACUGCCAGUGAUAAACUGGAGGAAGGUGGGGAUGACGUCAAGUCAUCAUGGCCCUUACGACCAGGGCUACACACGUGCUACAAUGGCGCAUACAAAGAGAAGCGACCUCGCGAGAGCAAGCGGACCUCAUAAAGUGCGUCGUAGUCCGGAUUGGAGUCUGCAACUCGACUCCAUGAAGUCGGAAUCGCUAGUAAUCGUGGAUCAGAAUGCCACGGUGAAUACGUUCCCGGGCCUUGUACACACCGCCCGUCACACCAUGGGAGUGGGUUGCAAAAGAAGUAGGUAGCUUAACCUUCGGGAGGGCGCUUACCACUUUGUGAUUCAUGACUGGGGUGAAGUCGUAACAAGGUAACC
rnacentral:rRNA from 1 species